ACGGCUAAAAUCUGAAAAUUUUUGUUCACAUUCUGUGAAGAAGGAAAUUGCUCCGAAAAUGUAACAAAUGUUGCAGUUUUGGUGCCCAGUUGAACCGGGUCUACCGGACCUUCAGGUGUAAAAACACUCUAGCUGGGUUUAAAUAAAA